rnacentral:rRNA from 1 species
UACGUAGGGGGCAAGCGUUAUCCGGAUUUACUGGGUGUAAAGGGGGCGCAGACGGCAGCGCAAGCCAGGAGUGAAAGCCCGGGGCCCAACCCCGGGACUGCUCUUGGAACUGCGCGGCUGGAGUGCAGGAGGGGCAGGCGGAAUUCCUGGUGUAGCGGUGAAAUGCGUAGAUAUUAGGAGGAACACCAGUGGCGAAGGCGGCCUGCUGGGCUUUAACUGACGCUGAGGCUCGAAAGCGUGGGGAGCAAACAGG